rnacentral:ncRNA from 1 species
CUGUCACAACGGCUUCCUGGCGUGGCAGGUUUCUCAUACCGGAGCA